rnacentral:rRNA from 1 species
AUACGGAGGAUGCAAGCGUUAUCCGGAUUUAUUGGGUUUAAAGGGUGCGUAGGCGGUUUGUCAAGUCAGCGGUGAAACGCAAGGGCUUAACCCUUGACCUGCCGUUGAAACUGGCGGACUUGAAUGCGGAUGCUGUGGGAGGAAUGUGUGGUGUAGCGGUGAAAUGCAUAGAUAUCACACAGAACACCGAUUGCGAAGGCAUCUCACAAAUCCGUGAUUGACGCUGAGGCACGAAAGUGUGGGGAUCAAACAGGAUUAGAUACCCUGGUAGUCCACACUGUAAACGAUGAUGACUCGCUGUCGGCGAUAUACAGUCGGUGGCCAAGCGAAAGCGAUAAGUCAUCCACCUGGGGAGUACGACCGCAAGGUUGAAACUCAAAUGAAUUGACGGGG